ensembl:snRNA U6 U6 spliceosomal RNA
GUGCUCGCUUCGGCAGCACAUAUACUAAAAAUUGGAACGAUACAGAGAAGAUUAGCAUGGCCCCUGAUGUCGACAGACUAAGAGAAGUCAUGAGCCAAAUGGAC